rnacentral:lncRNA from 10 species
CUCCCUCUCUCUCUCCUUUUCCACUCUCCAUCCUAUUGGUUCUGCUUCUCUGGAGAACUCUGACUAAUACGACUUGGUUAGACGAAUUCAGUGGCACUCAAACUUGAGCCUUGUAAGUCUUUUUUUUUUUUUUUUUUGAGAUGGAGUCUCACUCUGUUGCCCAGGCUGAAGUGCAGUGGUGCAACCUCGGCUCACUGCAGGCUCCGCCUCCCGGGUUCACACCAUUCUCUUGCCUCAGCCUCCCGAGUAGCUGGGACUACUCGGUGCCUGCCACCACGCCUGGCUAAUUUUUGGUAUUUUUAUUAGAAACGGGGUUUCACCGUGUUAGCCAGGAUGGUCUCGAUCUCUUGACCUUGUGAUCUGCCCGCCUUGGCCUCCCAAAGUUCUGGGAUUACAGAUGUGAGCCACCGCACCUGGCUGA